rnacentral:rRNA from 1 species
CGCGCACGGAUGGCUUUUGGGAAGCAUCAGGAGCGUCAACAGAGCCAGGCGGGGAGUUUGGCUGGGGCGGCACAUUUGUAAAAGAAUAACGCAAAUGUCCCAAGGUGAGCUCAGUGAGAACAGAAAUCUCACGUAGAGCAAAAGGGCAAAAGCUCACUUGAUUCGGGCUUCCAGUAGGAGUGCGAACCGAGAAAUCGUGGCCUAUCGAUCCUUUGGCGCUUGCAAGUGUCAAGGCAGAGGUGUCAGAAAAGUUACCACAGGGAUAACUGGCUUGUGGCAGCCAAGCGCUCAUAGCGACGUUGCUUUUGAUCCUUCGAUGUCGGCUCUUCCUAUCAUUGUGAAGCAGUAUUCACAAAGCGUUGGAUUGUUCACCCACUAACAGGGAACGUGAGCUGGGUUUAGACCGUCGUGAGACAGGUUAGUUUACCCUACUGAUGGAGUGUCGUUGCAGGAGUAAUUCAACAAAGUACGAGAGGAACCGUUGAUUCGGAUCAAUGG